AAUUGAGGAGGAGGGAGGGGAGUCGAGGAGGUGCUAGGGGGAAUAAGUGAAAAGUGUUCUGGAAAAAAUAGUAAUAAUGAUAUUUUUAUUUAGUAAAUACAACAAACUAAAACAGAUGAGUUUAAAGAUAUAAAUAUUAUACCGUACCUAGAAUCUGAAACAAGUAAGCUAGUAGAGAAUACGAAGGCGUAAAUGAGCUAACAAUCAUAAAGGAACUCGGCAAAUUAACUACCGUAACUUCGGGAUAAGGAGGGCUCAUUAGUCCUGAUGAAUAUCGGGUAAAAAGGAAGAAGCAUAAAAUAAUGUUGUACGACUGUUUAAUUAAAACAAAGCACUCCGCAAAAAGAUUAAAAAUCGAUGUAUUGAGUGUGAUGUCUGCCCGAUCCCGGCUGGUUAACGGAUUUAACUAAAUUAUUAAAAAAUUUGGUGUUGAAGGAACCCCCGGUUAAUGGCGGCCUUAACGUGAGGGUCCUAAGGUAGCGAAAUGCCUUGGCCGUUAAAUGCGGUCUUGCAUGAAUGAUGUAACGAUACAACAGCUGUCUCUAUGAUUGACUCAGUGAAAUUGGAAUAACUGUGCAGAUACAGUUUACCUCUAGUUAGACGAGAAGACCCUAUGCAGCUUUACUGUUACUAAUUAUUGGGUAUGAUGAAUUAAUUUUCAGAUUAUAAGGUAAAUUGGUUAAUAAAAAUGAAAAUCCUUUAUUUUCGCAUCAUACUUCAGAGUCUCUUGCUUGUUGAAUACUAAUUCAGUGGGCGCUUCUGGCUUCAGUGGGCGCUUCUGGCGCCAAUACAGAAGCCCAAAUGAGAGAUAGCCUCAGUUCUGACUUUUAAGUAGCCUUAGAAAGGAAUAUAUGGUUAGGAGACAGUUUAUGUGGGGCACAGACCCCUUAAAGAGUAAAAGGGAGUGUCUAAAAAUUAUUUGUUAUAGGCACAAGCUUGGCUUCGCUUAGCUUGGCCGUAACGUUGUUUGUGGUUUUAUGUAGUUUUACUAUAUUUAAUCUUCUAAAAUUAUUUCUAUCUACCCUCGCUGUAGAUACGAAUGGAUAUUUAGGUACGUUUUUCACUAUAGUGAAAAUAGCGGUAUAAUAAAAAAUAUUAUGAAUAAAUUUUCUAAUGUUUUUUGAGUUAUUAAGAGAUUUCUUAAUAGUCAUGAUAAAUACCUGAAAAGCUCAACGGCUAAUUCGUGCCAUACUGUUUGAUUAACAACAAAUCUUACAGUUGCGUAAGCAGGGCAUAGGAUCACAAGAUGCAAAAAGGAAAGAUCUUGGAUUAUUGGAAAAGCUACGCUAGGGAUGUUUGUCCUUCAAUAUUUUAAGCUAUCUUUGGCUGCGACUACCAUCUCGCCUGCUACCGCGAACCCCAUUCCCAUAUCCCCUCCGGGGAUCAAAAGCACCCCCUCAUUCCCCUACCCCCAUU
rnacentral:ncRNA from 1 species